rnacentral:tRNA from 1 species
GGGCGCAUGUUCCAAGGUGGCGACCGACCCUUGCAAGGUUGGUGGGCGAGUUCGAUUCUCGUCGCUUCCA